AAUAAAAUAUCGGGGUAAUGAUUUUCUCCAAAGAAAAUCAAUUACAAUAAAAAUUAAUUAAAAAUAUAUGUAUUUUUAUAUUGAAUUAUUAAAAUAAGUGAAAUAAAUUUAGAAUAAUAAUCCUAAUAAUUUUAAUUUCAUAAUAUGCAUCAGGACACCAGCCGAAUCAAUGACCCUGACUUCAAUACUUGUUGAGAAAAGAUACUGUGCCUUUAUCGUUUGCCGUGCUGCCAUAAUUAGAGAUAAGCAAGACCCAGUUCCCAUUAAGGGAAGGCAAGGACAUGAAGACAUUGAUUUUCUACUCUCUUUAUGAAGAUUGAUUACGCUGGAAAAUUUGUGGGCAUCCAUCCCAGAAAAUGUAUCUGGAAAGGUUCUUUGCCAUGGUUGGAUCGCUGGGUAUCAUCAAACCCUAUGGUUCAAUGCUAAGCAGGGGAAAAGGCCAAAAAAAAAAUGAAGUUGCAUGCUUAAACAAAUCCAGAGGCUGCAGAAAACACAGCUGAAAAACAGAGCGGAUGUUGAUUUUCUUAGCAAACGUGAUACCAAAUGAUAAAACCCCAACAAGCAGAACUGAAAACUAAAUGCAAGACAGAGAACUUUAUUAUAGAAAAGGAUUAUCAUGUCAGCUUCCUCCAGUCCUCCAACAAAGGGAAGAGAUACAAAGCCUCAAUGAAAAGGUGAGAAGACUCAAACUGUCUAAAGAACCUGCAAAAUCUAACCCUCUCUUCUAAGAGAUGGGUGCCUCAAAAAGACUUCAGAAUGUUAGUUUCGCUCUCUGUAUAUUAUGUUUUUUUUUUCUAAUGUCACAGUUCGAUUCCCCAUGUAUAUUUGUAUCUGCAAAAUUCAUGGUGGGAUCAGUGCAUGACUAUACGUCAUCUUCUCCUGGCUUGUGAAGCUGAUCUUUCCAACUGUGGCCCUCGGAUUUAUCAUCUUCAUCGUACUCCAUGCUGUCUCCUCCAGUACCUGAUACACCUUUAGCAGACCCAGCUAAAUGGAGUGGGCCUUGUGGAGAGCCGGACUGGGAAAUGUUUUUCUUUGAGACGUCUCCAACCUGAACUUGGGGCACCCAUGAUCCAUUUGCAGGAGCAGCUGAAGUGGAUGGGAUCCUCCGGACGUGAAGUCUGUAUUUCUGCAGAGGGACAAGAACUUUUAAGGACGACCCACUAAAGAAAACUGAAAAAGAAAGGCUUCUAUGUUAACACCCACCUGUAAAUGGCUUUUUACUUCAUCGUUAGUGAGACCUUCCACUUGCAUGAGUUCUCGAAUCUGUUUAGGAGUGGCUGC